UAAAAAAAAAAAAAAAAACUGAAUACAAUGACAAGUUGAUUAUCAGAACAAGCCCCAAACAUAAGAAAAGAGCAAAAGAUAACUUAUAACCAGAAUAAUGAUUAGAAACUAAAGCGGGAUCAACUUGGGCAAAGAAAGAAUCCAUAAAUUAGCGAAUACAAAAUCAACAAUCACAAUUAUAACAACAAAAAGACAAAAAAAUGUAAAUUAGUCAAUUAGGAAAUGUAUUACAAGAGUGUCUUUUGAAACUUAAGAAAACCAAUAAUAACCAACACAAUUGUUUAUCCACAAUCUUAAAGGAACAAGUACUAUCAAAUAAUGAGAAUGAGUACAUAAAAGUUAAGGAAAAGGUUGACAUUCGCCCUUAUGCUUUUGGACAAGGCUUAUUUGAGCCUUAUACUUUUUCUGGGUCCAAUUGGACUCUUGAACUUCACUUUUUCAAUAAUAAGCCCAAAUUUAUAUGGUGCUACUUUCCUCUGUUAAUAAGUUAGCAAGGUGACUUUAUGGGACCCAUAAAAUAAAUAACGUAUUAUUGAAAAUUUAUAAACCUUUUAACUCAAAUUUA
rnacentral:misc_RNA from 1 species